ensembl:misc_RNA
UAUUUACCUAUAUUUAACUACCUGCUCUAUGAUAGGCAUGAAGCCAAGAGGCACUUUCACUCUCGCUAUUAAGUACAUUUUGACCGCUAAGAAACUUACUGUAAUUUACCUCAG